AGGGAUAUAGCUCAGUGGUAGAGUGCAUGCUUAGCAUGCACGAGGUCCUGGGUUCAAUCCCUAGUACCUCCC
rnacentral:tRNA from 1 species